rnacentral:misc_RNA from 1 species
ACGACAUCUUCUCGGAACUGGUCGCCAAGGAGUACAUCCGACAGAACAACGGCAAGAAGCGCAAAGUGACGGCCGUGCAGCUGGGCUACGAGGCGCGGUGUGCCAAGCCCCACGCGUUCGACGUGAUGCUGGGCAGCCAGCUGGGCGUGGGCGCGUACCGGGCCUUGGUCGAAAAGCGGCUCAACGGCGUGAUGGUCUCCGCUUCCGGCCAGCUCAAGCUGGAAUACGUGCCGUUCUCGGAUCUGGUCGAUCCCGAAACGCUGGUCACAAUCGUUCGUUACAUCGAACUGGGCAGCGAUUUCCAUCGCCUGACACGGUUUUUGGAAACCAGCGUGGGAACGGCCGGGCCGGGCAGCGCGCUGUAGGCGGCGUCUCGUUGGCGGGGUCGUGGCGAGCGGGGGACGUGAGUCCCCUGCCUAACGUCGCGCCAUCAUGAGUUGGGCAGGGGGCUGACGCCCCCCGCUCGCCUACGGUUUUGGGAGGGGGCGUGCCGUUGCGGUAGCCUCGCCGAGAGAGCGCUGCUAAAGUCAAGCUUCCCGCCUUGAAUCCCCACCCGCCUCGCCGCAAAGCUGCUUCGAUGU